UACGGAGGGUGCAAGCGUUAUCCGGAUUCACUGGGUUUAAAGGGUGCGUAGGUGGGCAGGUAAGUCAGUGGUGAAAUCUCUGGGCUUAACCCGGAAACUGCCGUUGAUACUAUCUGUCUUGAAUGUAGUGGAGGUGAGCGGAAUAUGUCAUGUAGCGGUGAAAUGCUUAGAUAUGACAUAGAACACCCAUUGCGAAGGCAGCUUACUACACAACGAUUGACGCUGAGGCACGAAAGCGUGGGGAUCAAACAGG
rnacentral:rRNA from 1 species